rnacentral:rRNA from 1 species
CCUACGGGUGGCAGCAGUGGGGAAUAUUGCACAAUGGGGGAAACGCUGAUGCAGCGACGCCGCGUGAGGGAAGAAGUAUCUAGGUAUGUAAAGCUCUAUUAGCAGGGGAGAAAAUGACGGUACCUGACUAAGAAGGACCGGAUAACUACAUACCAGAAGCCGCGGUAAAAUGUAGGGGGCAAGCGUUAUCCGGAUUUACUGGGUGUAAAGGGAGCGUAGGGGGCAGCAUAAGUCUGGAGUUAAAUGCCAGGGCUUAACCAUGGACCUGGCUUGGAAACUGUGCAGCUAGAGUGCAGGAGAGGUAAGCGGAAUGCGUAGUGUAGCGGUGAAAUGCUUAGAUAUUAGGAGGAACACCAGUGGCGAAGGCGGCUUACUGGACUGUAACUGACGUUGAGGCACGAAAGCGUGGGGAGCAAACAGGAUUAGAUACCCCAGUAGUC